rnacentral:rRNA from 1 species
AAUAUUGCGCAAUGGAGGAAACUCUGACGCAGCGACGCCGCGUGAGCGAUGAAGGNUUNNGGAUCNUNAAGCUCUGUCCUUGGNNNNNAAGGUCUUCGGCCUUUACGGUACCCAAGCAGAAAGCUCCGGCUAACUACGUGCCAGCCGCCGCGGUGAUACGUAGGGGGCAAGCGUUGUCCGGAAUUAUUGGGCGUAAAGGGUGCGUAGGCGGCCUUUUAAGUCAGAUGUGAAAGCCCACGGCUUAACCGUGGGAUUGCAUUUGAAACUGGAAGGCCUGAGUAUCGGAGAGGGUAGUGGAAUUCCCAGUGUAGCGGUGAAAUGCGUAGAUAUUGGGAGGAACACCAGUGGCGAAGGCGACUACCUGGACGAAAACUGACGCUGAGGCACGAAAGCUAGGGGAGCAAACA